rnacentral:rRNA from 1 species
AUUGAACGCUGGCGGCAGGCCUAACACAUGCAAGUCGAGCGAGCGGCAGACGGGUGUGUAAUGUAUGGAGAUCUGCCCGAGAGGGGGGGAUACCUUCUGAAACCGGUGGCUAAUACCGCAUACUAUCGGAUGCAACCAUAGGGGAUUGGCUAGUAGGUGGGGAAAAGGCUCACCUAGGCGACUGUCUCUAGCUGGUCUGAGAGGGUGAUCAGCCACACUGGGACUGAGACACGGCCCAGACUCCUACGGGAGGCAGCAGUGGGGAAUAUUGCACAAUGGGCGCAAUCCUGAUGCAGCCAUGCCGCGUGUAUGAAGAAGGCCUUAGGGUUGUAAAGUACUUUCAGCGGGGAGGCGUUACCCGCAGAAGAAGCACCGGCUAACUCCGUGCCAGCAGCCGCGGUAAUAC